rnacentral:rRNA from 1 species
UACGUAGGGUGCGAGCGUUGUCCGGAAUUAUUGGGCGUAAAGAGCUCGUAGGCGGCUUGUCGCGUCGUCCGUGAAAACCUGCAGCUCAACUGCAGGCUUGCGGUCGAUACGGGCAGGCUGGAGUUCGGUAGGGGAGACUGGAAUUCCUGGUGUAGCGGUGAAAUGCGCAGAUAUCAGGAGGAACACCGGUGGCGAAAGCGGUCCACUGGGCAACUUCUGACGCUGAGGUGCGAAAGCUAGGGUAGCAAACGGG